GAUGAACGCUGGCGGCGUGCCUAAUACAUGCAAGUCGAGCGAACGGACGAGAAGCUUGCUUCUCUGAUGUUAGCGGCGGACGGGUGAGUAACACGUGGAUAACCUACCUAUAAGACUGGGAUAACUUCGGCAAACCGGAGCUAAUACCGGAUAAUAUUUUGAACCGCAUGGUUCAAAAGUGAAAGACGGUCUUGCUGUCACUUAUAGAUGGAUCCGCGCUGCAUUAGCUAGUUGGUAAGGUAACGGCUUACCAAGGCAACGAUGCAUAGCCGACCUGAGAGGGUGAUCGGCCACACGGGAACUGAGACACGGUCCAGACUCCUGCAGGAGGACGCAGUCGGGAAUCUUCCGCAAUGGGCGAGAGCGUGACGGAGCAACGCCGGGUGAGUGAUGAAGGUCUUCGGAUCGGAAAACUCUGUUAUUAGGGAAGAACAUAUGUGUAAGUAACUGGGAACAUCUUGACGGUACCUAAUCAGAAAGCCACGGCUAACUACGUG
rnacentral:rRNA from 1 species